UGCAUGAUGCUAAAUGAACAUAAAAGUUUUGUAAAUGAAGGAGAAAACAAGAGCCCGGAAUGCCAGGACCUAACAGCUGCCAAAGCUUGAAAUUUCUGAUGUGAUAUCAACACUAUUCAGUAUUUCAUUUGGAACAGAAAAAAUCUGCAGACUGAGAUACUUGUACUGAGAAAAUACCUGCUGUUGAAGAAAAAACCCAAGACUUGUUUAGGUAGAAACAACAAUAUGCCGAUAGUUCAAAUUGCUGCAUCUAUUGGAGCACCCAUCGUCGUCAGGAAUUUUUCUUGAAUUUCCAGCAUUUCCAAAAAUGCACCUUGCCGGCAUGGAUUGAUUGUAGUAGCUUAACACAUGUUACAAGAUUA